rnacentral:rRNA from 1 species
UACAGAGGUCUCAAGCGUUGUUCGGAUUCAUUGGGCGUGAAGGGUGCGUAGGUGGCGCUGUAAGUCGGGUGUGAAAUUUCGAGGCUUAACCUCGAAACUGCAUUCGAUACUGCGGUGCUUGAGGACUGGAGAGGAGACUGGAAUUCAUGGUGUAGCAGUGAAAUGCGUAGAGAUCAUGAGGAAGACCAGUGGCGAAGGCGGGUCUCUGGACAGUUCCUGACACUGAGGCACGAAGGCCAGGGGAGCAAACGGG